rnacentral:rRNA from 1 species
GACGAACGCUGGCGGCGUGCUUAACACAUGCCAGUCGAACGGUAAGGCCCCUUCGGGGGUACACGAGUGGCGAACGGGUGAGUAACACGUGAGCAACCUGCCCUUGACUCUGGAAUAACAGUUGGAAACAGCUGCUAAUACUGGAUAUUCAUCGUCUCCUUCCUGGGGGGUGGUGGAAAGCUCCGGCGGUCAGGGAUGGGCUCGCGGCCUAUCAGCUUGUUGGUGAGGUAAUGGCUCACCAAGGCUUCGACGGGUAGCCGGCCUGAGAGGGCGACCGGCCACACUGGGACUGAGAUACGGCCCAGACUCCUACGGGAGGCAGCAGUGGGGAAUAUUGCACAAUGGGCGCAAGCCUGAUGCAGCAACGCCGCGUGCGGGAUGACGGCCUUCGGGUUGUAAACCGCUUUCAGUAGGGACGAAGGGUGACUGACGGUACCUACAGAAGAAGGACCGGCUAACUACGUG